rnacentral:lncRNA from 1 species
UCAGCUCUGCUCUGCUCCACCACAAAACCUUCUCAUAAUAUUCUCUCCAAUCCAAUCGCAAUCUUCGCCGGAAAAUGAGCGAUGUCAUUCAUCGGCGGCCGUCGUACCUGAGCGGAUNCUUCAUUUAUCGUACGAUACACAAAGUUAGUCGACUGUAUUUAUUUAUUUUAAUUGCGUAGUCUCUUAGAAUUAAUCGGACCUAACCUAACUCGUAUUUACUUAUCCAAAAAUAAAUAAAUAGACAGUAAUGAUAAUAAUAAGUGAUUGGGCCCAUAGAAAUGCAAAAAGAGGAUAGAAUAAAACGUUACUCUCCACAUAGGAUGCCUUUCUUUCUACACAACUUCCAAACUUUAUAAAGCUCAGCUCUGCUCUGCUCCACCACAAAACCUUCUCAUAAUAUUCUCUCCAAUCCAAUCGCAAUCUUCGCCGGAAAAUGAGCGACGUCAUUCAUCGGCGGCCGUCGUACCUGAGCGGAUGCAUGUCGCCGUCGUGCGUCCCGGUGCACGAGGAGUACUCGCGCAUUCACGUGGAGAAGAGGCACCGCGGGGGGCGGAGGCUGCGCAGGCUCAUCCGGAAGAUUCUGAGCGAGAGCAAGAGCCUUUACGGCACACAGAAGCCCCUCACUUUACAGUACGACGCCGUUAGCUACUCUCAGAAUUUCGACGACGGCUGCCACCGCGACGAUCAUUAUGCUCCGUUGCACCACACCUUCAGAUCUUAGGCACGCCGCCCAACCAAUUUGUACAUAUUUUUAAGAAUUAAUCUUUUCCAAUUUUCACUCUUUUUUGGGAUCCUUUGAUUUUUUGGAUCCAUCGGCUCGUUCGAGAAUGGAGUAUAUGCUGAUGCUGCGGUUUUAUUAAACUUUUUUUUAUUAUCAAACUUUAUCAUCUCUCUCUCUCUCU